CCUUCGAUAGCUCAGUUGGUAGAGCGGAGGACUGUAGUUCGUGUGAUAUGGCAAUCCUUAGGUCGCUGGUUCGAUUCCGGCUCGAAGGA
rnacentral:tRNA from 1 species